UACGUAGGGGGCAAGCGUUGUCCGGAAUCAUUGGGCGUAAAGCGCGUGUAGGCGGCCUGAAAAGUCUGAUGUGAAAUCUCGGGGCUCAACCCCGAGCGGUCAUUGGAUACUGUCAGGCUUGAGUCCGGAAGAGGAGUGUGGAAUUCCUGGUGUAGCGGUGGAAUGCGCAGAUAUCAGGAGGAACACCAAUGGCGAAGGCAGCACUCUGGUACGUGACUGACGCUGAGACGCGAAAGCGUGGGGAGCAAACAGG
rnacentral:rRNA from 1 species